rnacentral:sRNA from 1 species
AGCCGGGCUGAAUGAGCAGGAGGCACGCCUCGUUACCGGCGGCAAUGUCCGGCGCCUUCUCGGCUUGCAGCAUGAGCGGCGGCGGCUGAGUAAAGGCCGACAAAACACAGAGCCCCGGAUCAGUGAUCCGGGGCU